AUGCACUGCUAAGUGACCAGGCUGUCUCUUUUAUGACUUUUUGGUCUCAUUCCAGUGCAAGAUAAAUCCCCUUCUAGCAGAAGGGCCAGGCUUCCUUCCAAAGGCCUGGUUCUUUCGAAGGCUGGGUACAACU
rnacentral:snoRNA from 1 species